rnacentral:lncRNA from 1 species
CUGUGGGGUUUGCUAGUCUGUCUGAGGUUAUAUUUUAGAGACUACUUGAUAUGUACUUAAGAAUAUUUCGAGCAAAUCGAUCACCAAAUUUUUAUAUGAGAUAUAGACUUGGAUAAUUCGAUGCUCUCUUACCUUAGGAUUGGGGGUGUUUGGUUUAUGUGAAACAUUCAUAAAUCGAUUAGCUUGGAUUUUGGUCGGAUAAAUAU